rnacentral:rRNA from 1 species
GUCCACGCCCUAAACGAUGUCGACUAGUUGUUCGGAGGGUAAAACCUUUGAGUAACGUAGCUAACGCGUGAAGUCGACCGCCUGGGGAGUACGGCCGCAAGGUUAAAACUCAAAGGAAUUGACGGGGACCCGCACAAGCGGUGGAUGAUGUGGAUUAAUUCGAUGCAACGCGAAAAACCUUACCUACCCUUGACAUGUCAGGAACUUUCCAGAGAUGGAUUGGUGCCCGAAAGGGAACCUGAACACAGGUGCUGCAUGGCUGUCGU